UUCUUCAGAUGGUCUUGUACACAGAGUAUGAUAUAAACCUUUAGCUUAAAUGUCACACAGUCACCUGGAGGGUGGGCCGAACAUAUCCCAAAAAAGGGCCAGAAAGUUUUUUUCAAGGUGGCCUUCAGAUGCCAACACAAUACGAGUCUUUGCAAUGUAAAUGCGGCGGGCAGAAGAAACCAGAUUACAAACUGCUCUGCUAAAAUGACUGUGACACUCCUACUCACUCAAGUGAGCAGAGGCAGGCAGAGUCUAAGCAAGGACCCUUAUUUACCUACCUUCCCCACAAUUGUGUCAAUCUGCAGUGACCACAACCACAACAUCUAUGUGUCUGUCACUGAGCCACCGUGAUGGAGAUGACAAUAAAACAAU